rnacentral:ncRNA from 2 species
AUUUCAUGAAGAGUGGUUGAGGGACGAGCCCUGUGACGCCACGACAACCGGCCUGAGCAAUUCGGGCGACCGGUGUCAACUCUCUCCUGGUAACCGGGGAACAUGAGAU